AUUGAACGCUGGCGGCAGGCCUAACACAUGCAAGUCGAACGAGUGGCGGACGGGUGAGUAAUGUCUGGGAAAAUGCCCGAUGGAGGGGGAUAACUACUGGAAACGGUAGCUAAUACCGCAUACCAUCGGAUGUGCCCAGAUGGGAUUAGCUAGUAGGGGGGGUAAUGGCUCACCUAGGCGACGAUCCAUAACUGGUCUGAGAGGAUGAACAGCCACAAGGGAACUGAGACACGGUCCAGACUCCUACGGUAGGCAGCAGGGGGGAAUAUGGCACAAUGGGCGCAAGCCUGAUGCAGCCAUGCCGCGUGUAUGAAGAAGGCCUUCGGGUUGUAAAGUACUUUCAGCGGGGAGGCGUUACCCGCAGAAGAAGCACCGGCUAACUCCGUGCCAGCAGCCGCGGUAAUUC
rnacentral:rRNA from 1 species